GACGAACGCUGGCGGCGUGCUUAACACAUGCAAGUCGAACGGAAAGGCCCUGCUUUUGUGGGGUGCUCGAGCGGCGAACGGGUGAGUAACACGUGAGUAACCUGCCCUUGACUUUGGGAUAACUUCAGGAAACUGGGGCUAAUACCGGAUAGGAGCUCCUGCUGCAUGGGGGGGGUUGGAAAGUUUCGGCGGUAGGGGAUGGAAUCGCGGCUUAUCAGCUUGUUGGUGGGGUAGUGGAAUCCAAAGCCUUCGACGGGUAGGCGGCCUGAGAGGGUGAACGGCCACAUUGGGACUGAGAGACGGCCCAGACUCCUACGGGCGGCAGCAGUGGGGAAUAUUGCACAAUGGGCGGAAGCCUGAUGCAGCAGCGCCGCGUGCGGGAUGACGGCCUACGGGUUGUAAACCGCUUUCGCCUGUGACGAAGCGUGAGUGACGGUAAUGGGUAAAGAAGCACCGGCUAACUACGUG
rnacentral:rRNA from 1 species